UAAAUGGACAUUUAGCACAAACUCUGUUAGCUAUCCCUCCAUUCAAAAUGAUGUUCCCUUUUACCUUCCCUUCUUUCCUACAUCUCUCUACCCAAAUCGAGUUUACUGAACCCAUGUUCUGCUCUCCUCUCCAACUAGUGAAGACAAAAGACAUCAUCGGCGGUCCUUCCUCCACUGGCGACCGGCGGCAGAACGUAGCAAUAUUCCACCGGUGAUGAAUGGCUUCAUCUGCGACUGAUCCUUGGGCGACCGACGAUAAAUCUUGGUCUUGAUCCACAAUUCAUGAUCCUUAAACCUAAUAUGGGUUUCGACACUAGUGCAGAGAUGAGUUCUCAAUCGACAUCUUAGAGCACAUAUUAUAAGAAAUUGAAGUAUCCAUCAAGAAUUUGUUAUUGUGGAAAGAAAUGUGUAAUCCGCGUGUCGGAGACAAAUUUGAACCCACAAAGGUUUUUUUAUAGUUGUCCCGGAAUCAUGGAAAAGAAAGUCAAUGUGGCAUUUUGCAAUUAUUUUGAAUGGGCAUUUCCUACAACCACUUCCGAUGAAGCUACAUCAUCAAUGAAUGUAGGACAUGCAGUAACUCACGCUGAAGAGAUCGAUAGGUUAUUAUUUGAAUUGAAUAGGUGUGUGCAAUCAAUGGAGUCAUCGAAGGAUCAUCAGCAGCUACUUUCUAAAGAAUUGAAGAGGACACGAGUUUUGCUCAUUAUUUUUAUAAUUGGGUUUCUUGUGGUGUAUAUGUUCAACAAAUAGCAGUUGGGAACUAUGGUUGCAGUAGAAAUGUAUUUUGACCAAGACUCUAGUAUUUAUGAUUAGGAACUAUGCGUAUUUAUGUUAGGGAUGAGCAUUGGACUCAGAUGGCAUUCAACCAUUUAUAUGUAUUUAAGCUUUUAGUUUGAUAUAUACUGAACCAUUUAUAUGUAUUCAAUCAUGUUGGAAGCUGAGUUGGUAGUAAACCUAGUAGGCUCCAAUUGAAUCAACACAUAUUAACAA